rnacentral:lncRNA from 10 species
UGGGGAAACUGUUCCCCUCAGGCCUCAGGCUAGUCAGCGCUCAUGGAAUCUUAUUUUGCAAGGGCCUCAGCUGAAUCCCACAUUCUCAGUCCAAACCAGGACACUUUAGAAUACCCUGUAAAUAACUUCUGGAUUAAGUCACAGCGAGCCUAUUAUCCCACAGCCCUGUGCUGCUGCCAGCCCAUCACUUCGUACCACGCCUCACUGCCGCUGUGACCUGCCCAGUGUUUUCUAGCAGGGAUACGGCUAUGGGCAGUCAAGAAAGGCGCUGUGGGUCUCCAGGAUGAAGCUGCAGUGCUGGAGUUUACCCACAGCCAGGGCCAAGCAGCAGAAACAACCAGGGUGUGGCAACUAAGGGACUGGAAUACACAUUUGCUUGGAGUCUAAUAGAAUUGGCUUCAUAGGAAAACCUCGCCCCUUCCAGCUCCUCCUCCUUUGAAGCAAUCUGAGCCUCAAGUUCCUGUAAAUAAAUAAGAUCUGCCUGGCAGCAUUGUUAUGAGGACUAACAGAUAAGUUCCAGUUCUAAUGCUCAUCACUGGCUUUCACAAUGAUGAUUUUUCAGCUCUGUGAGAGUCUCAGUUACUACAAAGACUGGGUUUCCUUAGUCAGGUGAGUAAUUCAUCUUAGGAAGAUUUACAGUAGUAAUGACUGAAAUCAAAAGGAGAUUUUAACAAUUCUUGACUGUUCUGAUUAACUCAAAUUUUUUAAUAUCUCACUCCUAACUAUGAAAACUAAUGCAAACAAAGAAAAAAAUACUAAAAAGUUUGUUAUGGCUUAGCUGACCCAGACACUUGGCUGUUAUACAAUAAACAGGAACUUUCCAAAAUUACAAUUC